CCUACGGGAGGCAGCAGUGAGGAAUAUUGGUCAAUGGUCGGGAGACUGAACCAACCAAGCCGCGUGAGGGAUGAAGGUACAGAGUAUCGUAAACCUCUUUUGUCAGGGAACAAAGGCGGGGACGUGUCCCCGGAUGAGUGUACCUGAAGAAAAAGCAUCGGCUAACUCCGUGCCAGCAGCCGCGGUAAUACGGAGGAUGCGAGCGUUAUCCGGAUUUAGUGGGUUUAAAGGGUGCGCAGGCGGUCUGUUAAGUCAGCGGUCAAAGCCCGGGGCUCAACCCCGGCCCGCCGUUGAAACUGGCAGUCUCGAGUUGGAGAGAAGUAUGCGGAAUGCGCGGUGUAGCGGUGAAAUGCAUAGAUAUCGCGCAGAACUCCGAUUGCGAAGGCAGCAUGCCGGCUCCACACGGACGCUGAGGCACGAAAGCGUGGGUAUCGAACAGGAUUAGAUACCCUAGUAGUC
rnacentral:rRNA from 1 species